UAAGGAAUAUUGGACAAUGGAGGCAACUCUGAACCAGCCAUGCCGCGUGCAGGAAGACGGCCCUCUGGGUUGUAAACUGCUUUUAUUCGGGAAUAAACCUAUCUACGUGUAGAUAGCUGAAUGUACCGAAGGAAUAAGGAUCGGCUAACUCCGUGCCAGCAGCCGCGGUAAUACGGAGGAGCCAAGCGUUAUCCGGAUUUAUUGGGUUUAAAGGGUGCGUAGGCGGCCUAUUAAGUCAGGGGUGAAAGACGGUAGCUCAACUAUCGCAGUGCCCUUGAUACUGAUGAGCUUGAAUGAACUAGAGGUAGGCGGAAUGUGACAAGUAGCGGUGAAAUGCAUAGAUAUGUCACAGAACACCGAUUGCGAAGGCAGCUUACUAUGGUUUUAUUGACGCUGAGGCACGAAAGCGUGGGGAUCAAACA
rnacentral:rRNA from 1 species